rnacentral:rRNA from 1 species
UUUCCGUAGGUGAACCUGCGGAAGGAUCAUUAUUGAAUUUUGAAGGGGUUGUAGCUGAUCUUUUUUAAAAGAUAUGUGCACACCUCUAUCUACACACCCAUGUGCACUUUUUGUAGGCUUUAUUGCCUAUGUUUAUCAUAUAAACACACAUUUGUUACAAGAAUGUUAUUGAUGAAAUUUAAUAUAUACAACUUUCAACAACGGAUCUCUUGGCUCUCGCAUCGAUGAAGAACGCAGCGAAAUGCGAUAAGUAAUGUGAAUUGCAGAAUUCAGUGAAUCAUCGAAUCUUUGAACGCACCUUGCGCUCCUUGGUAUUCCGAGGAGCAUGCCUGUUUGAGUGUCAUUAAAUUAUCAACCUCUUCUAGAGGCUUGGAUUUGGAGUGUUGCUGGCUCAUUGUUGGCUCCUCUUAAAUGCAUCAAGCUUGUUGUAGGCUUUGGUUUGAUAAUAUCUAUGCCAUCGCUGUAAUGCAAAACAAACAACCUUUGAAAUUUGACCUCAAAUCAGGUAGGACUACCCGCUGAACUUAAGCAUAUCAAUAAGCGGAGGAAAAGAAACUAACAAGGAUU